rnacentral:rRNA from 1 species
GAAAGCGUAACAGCUCACUGGUCUAAAUAAGGGUCUUUGCGCCUAAAAUGUAACGGGGCUAAAGCCAUACACCGAAGCUUUGGGUGCAUAGCAAUAUGCGCGGUAGCGGAGCGUUCUGUAGGCCUGUGAAGGGAGACCCGUGAGGGCUCCUGGAGGUAUCAGAAGUGCGAAUGCUGACAUGAGUAACGUAAGGAGUGUGAGAGACACUCCCGCCGAAAGACCAAGGGUUCCUGCUUAAAGUUAAUCUGAGCAGGGUUAGCCGGACCCUAAGGCGAGGCCGAAAGGCGUAGUCGAUGGGAAUCACGUUAAUAUUCGUGAGCCUGCAGGUAGUGACGGAUCAUCAAGGUAGUUCAUUCUUAUUGGAUUGAAUGGGCUGCUGCGUGGUUCCAGGAAAUAGCUCCUGCUUAUAGUCCGUACCCGAAACCGACACUGGUGGUCUGGUAGAGUAUACCAAGGCGCUUGAGAGAACUAUGCUGAAGGAACUCGGCAAAUUGCACGCGUAACUUCGGAAGAAGCGUGACCCCUUAGUACGCAAGUAUUGGGGGGUGGCACAGACCAGGGGGUAGCGACUGUUUAUCAAAAACACAGGGCUCUGCGAAGCCGCAAGGCGACGUAUAGGGUCUGACGCCUGCC